CCCUUAGACGUUCUGGGCCGCACGCGCGCUACACUGACGGAGCCAGCGAGUAUAAACCUUGGCCGAGAGGUCUGGGAAAUCUUGUGAAACUCCGUCGUGCUGGGGAUAGAGCAUUGUAAUUAUUGCUCUUCAACGAGGAAUUCCUAGUAAGCGCAAGUCAUCAGCUUGCGUUGAUUACGUCCCUGUCCUUUGUACACACCGCCCGUCGCUACUACCGAUUGAAUGGCUUAGUGAGGCUUCCGGAUUGGUUUAGAGAAGGGGGCAACUCCAUCUUGGAACCGAGAAGCUAGUCAAACUUGGUCAUUUAGAGGAAGUAAAAGUCGUAACA
rnacentral:rRNA from 1 species